rnacentral:SRP_RNA from 1 species
GCUGGGUGCGGCGGUACACACCUGUAGUCCCAGCCUCUUGGAGGCUGAGAUGGGAGGAUCACUUGAGCCCAUGAGGUUGAGGCUGCAGUGAGCCAUGAUUGUGCCACUGCACUCCAACCUGGGCAACAGAGGGAGACCCCAUCUCAA